CGCUGGCGGCGUGCUUAACACAUGCAAGUCGAGCGAUGAAACACCUUCGGGUGUGAAUUAGCGGCGAACGGGUGAGGAACACGUGAAGAAUCUGCCUUCAACUCUGGGAUAACUCCGGGAAACCGGGGCUAAUACCGGAUAUGAGCCUUGAUCGCAUGAUCGGGGCUGGAAAGUUUUUCGGUUGAAGAUGACUUCGCGGCCUAUCAGCUUGUUGGUGAGGUAAUGGCUCACCAAGGCGACGACGGGUAGCCGGCCUGAGAGGGCGACCGGUCACACUGGGACUGAGACACGGCCCAGACUCCUACGGGAGGCAGCAGUGGGGAAUAUUGGGCAAUGGAGGAAACUCUGACCCAGCGACGCCGCGUGAGGGAUGAAGGCCUUCGGGUUGUAAACCUCUUUCAGUAGGGAAGAAGCGAAAGUGACGGUACCUACAGAAGAAGCACCGGCUAACUAUGUGCCAGCAGCCGCGGUAAUACAUAGGGUGCAAGCGUUGUCCGGAAUUAUUGGGCGUAAAGAGCUCGUAGGUGGUUCGAUACGUCGGAUGUGAAAAUCAGGGGCUCAACCCCUGACCUGCAUCCGAUACGGUCGAGCUAGAGUUUGGUAGGGGAGACUGGAAUUCCUGGUGUAGCGGUGGAAUGCGCAGAUAUCAGGAGGAACACCGAUGGCGAAGGCAGGUCUCUGGGCCAAUACUGACACUGAGGAGCGAAAGCGUGGGGAGCGAACAGGAUUAGAUACCCUGGUAGUCCACGCCGUAAACGGUGGGCGCUAGUUGUGCGAACCUUCCACGGUUUGUGCGACGCAGCUAACGCAUUAAGCGCCCCGCCUGGGGAGUAC
rnacentral:rRNA from 1 species